rnacentral:ncRNA from 1 species
GUAAAUAAUAUGGGGAGCUAAGUGAACUUGGCUGAGAGGAUGCGAAAACGUAUCGACCCACAAACCUGAUCUGGGUAAUGCCAGCGUAGGGAUACUCUAUAACAAAAGU